CACCUGAAAGUAGCGGGAGAUAUUCGAUUGGGAUUAGCAAGUGGAUUGAAUGUGGAUCGUAUGUGUUUACUAUGUAUAUUUAAUGGAGGAUCAAAGUGGAUUGCAUUUCAAUGAGCAUACUUAUAUUGUAGAAGAUCGAUUGGGAUUAGCAAGUGGAUUGCAUGUGGAUCGUAUGUGAUUGGGAUGCGUAUUUUAUAAGGUGUAUUCCAUGUGGAUGGUAUAUGUUUGGGAUGUGUAUUUUGUGAAGGAUCGAAAUUCAAUUCAAAAGAAGUUAACAAAUAUUUGAGGAUCGCAUAAGAAAUUCAUAAAGAUUGGGAUUAGCAAGUAAAUUGCAUGUGGAUCGUAUGUUCUUGAGAAUCAUAUUUUAAAAAAUAGAUCACACAUUUGAAGAUCGCAUGAGUAAUUUGUAAGGGCUCCUAUUCUGAGCUUAUAGUAUAAUGCG